GGUUAGGGCACCGAGAUCCACUCCCCCAGGAGACUGUAGCUCAGCGAGCCAGCCUCUUCCCAGGUCCAGCUGUCCCCCGGCACUGGGCAUCUGUGCUGUCGGUCCACUUUAGGUUAAAGAUACAUGUUUUUAGCGAGUUUUCAGUAGUGUUUUGCCGGAGUCGCUCUGAUUUGCAACCGUCCAGCUCGGCGGCCCGGCCCCGCCC